rnacentral:rRNA from 1 species
UACGUAGGGUGCGAGCGUUAAUCGGAAUUACUGGCGUAAAGCGUGCGCAGGCGGUUUUGUAAGCCAGAUGUGAAAUCCCCGGGCUCAACCUGGGAAUGGCAUUUGGGACUGCAAGGCUUGAGUGCGGCAGAGGAGACUGGAAUUCCUGGUGUAGCAGUGAAAUGCGUAGAUAUCAGGAGGAAUACCGGAUGGCGAAGGCAGGUCUCUGGGCUGACACUGACGCUCAUGCACGAAAGCGUGGGAGC